UGAGAACUGAAUUCCAUGAGUUGUUCGAGCUACUGUUUCUCAGCCCAUGGUUCUCAGUUCUGCA
rnacentral:pre_miRNA from 1 species